GACGAACGCUGGCGGCGUGCUUAACACAUGCAAGUCGAACGGAAAGGCCCUGCUUUUGUGGGGUGCUCGAGUGGCGAACGGGUGAGUAACACGUGAGUAACCUGCCCUUGACUUUGGGAUAACUUCAGGAAACUGGGGCUAAUACCGGAUAGGAGCUCCUGCUGCAUGGUGGGGGUUGGAAAGUUUCGGCGGUUGGGGAUGGACUCGCGGCUUAUCAGCUUGUUGGUGGGGUAGUGGCUUACCAAGGCUUUGACGGGUAGCCGGCCUGCGAGGGUGACCGGCCACAUUGGGCCUGAGAUACGGCCCAGACUCCUACGGGGGGCAGCAGUGGGGGAUAUUGCACAAUGGGCGGAAGCCUGAUGCAGCAACGCCGCGUGCGGGAUGACGGCCUUCGGGUUGGAACCCGCUUUCGCCUGUGACGAAGCGUGAGUGACGGUAAUGGGUAAAGAAGCACCGGCUAACUACGUG
rnacentral:rRNA from 1 species